AAUGUCAUCGAAACCCAUUUCUCAAUUGCAUGAACCUUUCUCUUCGAAACUCGUCUCAUCGCCUGGAAGAGUGCAAACACGUCGAAACACGGCAAAGAAUUGGGAGAGACUGGGAAGCGAGAAAUCCAACCAUUUUCUAAACUCCUUUCUCGCAUUUUCUUUGCGUAUAUCGGUUUUUUCGAUUCACCUAAUGACUCCGUAAUCAGAAACUUCCGUUUGUAAAAACAUGAUUCCUUCAUUUCUCUACGGUUCUUCACCCAAAACCCUAUCGAUUAUUCAUCAUAUCAUCAACUCCUGCCCCCUCCUUCUGCCGCUGCGACGUCUUCAUUGACUGAAACUAGAUAGAUCGGUUGGGCUUUGAAGCUUCUCCUAAAGAAUCCAGUAAGAUCGAGAUGUACUUUGGAUUUGACACAACUCAUGUUGCUGUUAGGUAAAUCGUUGAACCUAUUUCAUUUUUUGGAUAAUUCAUUUUUCUAAUUGUUGAAUAGACUAGGAGUUUUCGAUAUAGAGAAGGGGCUUUGAAGCUUUGAUCUUAAGAAUGUUCAUUCACUGUUUGAUGAAUUGAUUCAGAGAGCUUCUCAUUGUGUUUUGUCUAUGAAUGGGACUUCUACUGCCACUUUAAUUCAAGGAAAGUUCCUAAUAGUUCCGCUUUGACGGUUUCGACGAAUUAUUCGAAGAAUUUGACUUCUGUUUCUGGUUCUUGAGGUGGUUUGAGAAGCAGAUUCCUUCAAUUGUUGCUUCUUCUACCUUUGUUCAUGUGGAGAGAAAAGUUUAUGCAAAGGCUUUUGAGUUGUUCAAAAGAGAUCAUAGCUAUGUGAGCAAGUCUAAGUCUACAUUUUAUCCGACGGGUAUGGAUUGAACUGAAUUUUGCACCCAAACCGGAUUCAUCCUUAAAAUCCACAACUGUUGCAGAAAGAAGAAUUGCUGCUCAGACUCCUCAACAUGCUUAGGCGUGACAUAGGAAAAUAAUGUUUGUUUGUAGUUUGUACAACUAGCUAACAGAGCUUAGUGCAAGCUUCUUCAUCAAGAGUCUAUGAAUUGUAGGCUCCUCUAGGAUUGUCUACAUUCUUAAUAUGCUUUAUAAGAGGUCAAAUAAUGGGUUAUUUUGCAUGACGGUGCUUUAGCAGCAGCAGGAAAAAGCUAAAGCUGAAGCAGAGGUGCCAUACCCUUAUAUUUUAGUUUGACUGUGUUAUUUGGAACAUAAAUUAUACAUGUCUUCAAUUUUCAUUUCUAGUAAUCAUCUGUUUACAACUACAAAGUGAAGUGUUGUGUUACUUUUUUUUAAAGUAAUGCUUGAAGAGUCCUAAACUACUAACAUACAUUUAUCUUUGCACUGAUUUUGUCUAUUCACUUUACCAGUUACUAGCCUAAAACUUGUUAGCAGUUUGUUAAUAUUCACAUGUCCAUCACUAUAUGGGUCUUGUUAAUGUUAUAUCAAGCAUACACUUUUGCUACCAAUCUUCUUGAUAUAGGUUUAAGCUCAAAUGGACAUUCAUUCAUGAUUUUUAAAUUUUUCUGUUAUGGUUCUAUGUGAUUUUAUUAAGUCGUUUGAAGCAUCAAUAAUGUGGGUUAGAUUAGACGGAGUAUGAUUCUAUAGUUUGAGUUGGAGGAAAACUAUAGGCUUAACAAGAGUUUUCUGUUAAUAAUUUUUAUGCAUAUUCGUUGCAACUGGUAUGUUUAAUAGUCAGAAUCUGAAAACAUAUUUUGACAUUAGAAAAUUCGUCGACCAGCGUAUUUGUAUAUUUUGAAUGAUUUUUCUUUUGAAAUUUUUAGAUGUAUGAAGAGUUGCAAGUGCUUUCACCAUUUGUUCCUUAUUAGAGAAUUCUACUUUCUGUGUCACUAAACAAAUUGAGCAAGGUUUAUGAGCUAUAGUUGAUGUUUCAUAUGAUUUUCCUAAUGACAACCAAUUCGGGUCACAAUUCCGAUGCCAUCGUUUUCCGUCCGGUGGCUUCAUUCGAGACAUGCCUAAUGGAUAUUCCAAGGUAAUUAUAGGUUACUUGGAUUGAACAUGUUGAGAUUGAUGAUAAAAAUCCAGUUCACAGCAUUAUAGAAAUGUUAUCCAUAGUGGUGUUGCAAUUGGUGCUGAAAGAUGGCUCACCAUACUUCAAAGAAUGUGUGAAAGACUUGCUUGUCUCAUGGUGUCUGCCAAUUCUACUCGCGAUCUCGGCGGAGUGAUUCCAUCACCUGAGGGAAAAAGGAGCAUGAUGAAACUGGCACAAAGGAUGGUAACAAGUUUCUGUGCAAGUAUAGUUGCAUCAGCUAGUCAUAGAUGGACCACACUUUCAGCUGUGAAUGAGAUUGGAGUCAGAGUUACUGUUAGAAAGAGUACAGAUCCUGGUCAGCCUAAUGGUAUUGUGCUAAGUGCAGCUACUACCAUUUGGUUGCCGCUUCCUCCACAACAUGUUUUCAAUUUCUUCAAAGAUGAGAGGAAAAGAUCUCAGUGUUUGACAGGAAAUGAGAUGCAAGUAAAGCAACCAAAGCCACUUUCAUGCAUUUGAUCGGACAGAUAUCACAACUCAACUAUUAGGGGUUUGAUACAACUGAACCAUGGACAAGGUCAAUCUCUUCAAUAUGUUGUCAAUGCGGCUUUUAUGACAUCACUUUUUGCUGAUUAAAUGGAAGCCAUAUGUGUUUCUGGAUGGAAUUGUGGCCUUAAUUACAUUCCAAGGUCCGAUCUCAAGUCAUUUGCAACCUCUCAGAUGGAUUACAUCAUGGGUCAAAAUCCAAUGAACAUGAGCUACAUAGUUGGAUAUGGCAAGAAGUUUCCAACUCAUAUUCAUCAGAGAUGCAUCAAUUCCAAAUAAUCACAAAAAUUACUCAUGCACUAGUCGUUGGAAGUGGCGCGACACCCCUAACAGAAAUCCUAACAACAUCACAGGAGCAAUGGUUGGAAGUGUCAAGUAUAGAUUUUUUCGACAAAGGAUGUUUUCAUUAUUUUAUGGACUUUGGCAGUACAUGUUCAACAAGUUAGAGCUUCAUGUACUCAUUUUAGGGAUUGACAAGGCUGGCAAAACGACUUUGCUUGAGAAGAUGAAGUCAGUGUACACGAAUGUAGAAGGUCUUCCUCCGGAUCAAAUUGUGGAAAGCAAUUGCUUCUCCAGGGCGUGGUAUUUUGGCCAUGGAUGAAUCCAAUGCUACAUGUGGAAAGCGGUUGGAUUCAAUUAAACUAGAGAACACCGAAGCUAACCGUCAAGCAUGGCGUAAAAUUAUAUAUGAAGAAAGUGUUAUGACUUGGUUAAAAUAUAAUUUUUAUGUGUAUGAUUUUAUAGUACUUGAAAUAUUAUGA